UUGACCUCGAAUCAAGU
rnacentral:rRNA from 1 species